GUGAACGCCCUCACGGGCUUAUACUAUUCCAAACCUCUGUGAACCGUGCCCUUCGGGGCUAUUUUACAAACAUGUGUAAUGAACGUCAUAUAUCAUAACAAAACA
rnacentral:misc_RNA from 1 species